GACGAACGCUGGCGGCGUGCUUAACACAUGCAAGUCGAACGGAAAGGCCCUGCUUUUGUGGGGUGCUCGAGUGGCGAACGGGUGAGUAACACGUGAGUAACCUGCCCUUGACUUUGGGAUAACUUCAGGAAACUGGGGCUAAUACCGGAUAGGAGCUCCUGCUGCAUGGUGGGGGUUGGAAAGUUUCGGCGGUCGGGGAUGGACUCGCGGCUUAUCAGCUUGUUGGUGGGGUAGUGGCUUACCAAGGCUUUGACGGGUAGCCGGCCUGAGAGGGUGACCGGCCACAUUGGGACUGAGAUACGGCCCAGACUCCUACGGGAGGCAGCAGUGGGGAAUAUUGCACAAUGGGCGGAAGCCUGAUGCAGCAACGCCGCGUGCGGGAUGACGGCCUUCGGGUUGUAAACCGCUUUCGCCUGUGACGAAGCAUGAGUGACGGUAAUGGGUAAAGAAGCACCGGCUAACUACGUG
rnacentral:rRNA from 1 species